rfam:Lachnospiraceae bacterium 3-2 genomic scaffold acPFJ-supercont1.1, whole genome shotgun sequence.
CUUUUUUACGCAUAGCAAAUCACCUCACUACAUUCUAUAGUUCCUAUAGAAGAAUGAACAGGUAUGGAAAGACGUGUUAUAUAGUCUCACAGUUCCUAUUGUGUGUAAAAAGGUACGAAUCACGCUGCAAAUGCGGUUAAUAAAAAACCGUUGUUUACAGCUCUUUUUGGGAUACGGACUUUGAUAUAUUCUCUCGAACGACGGUUGAAAAGCCGUCGUUUUUUCUUUUUCCUCACGG